rnacentral:rRNA from 1 species
AACGAACGCUGGCGGCAGGCCUAACACAUGCAAGUCGAACGCUCCGCAAGGGGAGUGGCGCACGGGUGAGUAACACGUGGGAACCUACCUUCUGGUACGGAACAACCAAGGGAAACUUUGGCUAAGACCGUAUACGACCUCCGGGUGAAAGAUUGAUCGCCGGAAGAGGGGCCCGCGUCCGAUUAGGGUAGUUGGUGAGGUAACGGCUCACCAAGCCUUCGAUCGGUAGCUGGUCUGAGAGGAUGACCAGGCCACACUGGGACUGAGACACGGCCAGACUCCUACGGGAGGCAGCAGUGGGGAAUAUUGGACAAUGGGCGCAAGCCUGAUCCAGCCAUGCCGCGUGAGUGAUGAAGGCCUU